AAGGAUCAUUAAUGAAACUUUCAAGUCGGCCGUAUCACUGUGCUGGUGGAGACACAUGUGCACGUUGCGGUCGCAAUCCACACACCUGUGCACCCUUUGACUCUGAGCACCGCCGGCAACGGCAGCAGGUCCUUUUGGGACCCGGUACUCGAGUUCUUUACACACUCUGAACUGUAAUGGAAUGUCAUUGUACAAUGUACAACCAUAAACAACUUUCAACAACGGAUCUCUUGGCUCUC
rnacentral:misc_RNA from 1 species